AACGAACGCUGGCGGCAGGCUUAACACAUGCAAGUCGAACGCAUCGCAAGAUGAGUGGCAGACGGGUGAGUAACGCGUGGGAACAUACCCUUUUCUACGGAAUAGCUCUGGGAAACUGGAAUUAAUAUCGUAUACGCCCUACGGGGGAAAGAUUUAUCGGGGAAGGAUUGGCCCGCGUUGGAUUAGCUAGUGGGUGGGGUAAAGGCCUACCAAGGCGACGAUCCAUAGCUGGUCUGAGAGGAUGAUCAGCCACAUUGGGACCGAGACACGGCCCAAACUCCUACGGGAGGCAGCAGUGGGGAAUAUUGGACAAUGGGCGCAAGCCUGAUCCAGCCAUGCCGCGUGAGUGAUGAAGGCCUUAGGGUUGUAAAGCUCUUUCACCGAUGAAGAUAAUGACGGUAGUCGGAGAAGAAGCCCCGGCUAACUUCGUGCCAGCCGCCGCGGUAA
rnacentral:rRNA from 1 species